UAAGUUAUCAAAGCAACCUAAUUACAAUUAACUAAGAGAUUAAACUGAAUAACAACCAACAAUUUAGCCAUACAAACUACAGAAACUAGAGAAACGGACUUGGAAAAUAAAGCUAACAAGGAAUAGAACCACAUAAAUUAUCCUUUAACCACAAAUUGUGGCCAAACUUCAUUUGAAUUGACAAGAGAAAAAGAAAAAGAAAAAUAGAAGGAUAGAUGAGGAAGAACGAAAGUUAAAGUGACCCCAAAUAUGAACAAAGCCAGAGAGAAAAACUUACCGACCAAAAGCUCGAACCCGGAACUCGACCCUCUUAUUUCACCUGCAAAUAACGUCAAUCAAUUGUUCAUUGUCAAGAACAAAUGAACAAUGUCAUUUUGAGACCAAAUCAACUCUGAAAAUUAAGAAAUCGCUGGAGGAAGACCCUUGAAUGAAUAAAUCCGACUUGGCUUCUAAGGCACGAACCCUAAUUCUAAGAUUCGAGAAAUUCUAGCCUCAUUUGAGGGAAAUGAAGUAGGGAUUUGGAAAGAGGGGAGUGUGGUGGUGGUUUGGUGUUGAUUUGGGUAGAAUUGGAGGUGGCGUCACCACCGGAGAACAUCGUGGCAACGCUAGGGUUUCUGAAAUUUGAGGCAUUCUAGGUGGAUUUGAAGAAAAGUGGUUGGGGAUUGGGAUGAGGAGAACCUUGGGAUCAUUUGGUAUAAAUUUGGUGUAUUUGGCUGCCAGCCGCCGCGGCAAACGGUGGUCUAAGGUAAUGUUACAUUAAGGGUUCUGAGGGUUGUGAGAGAUGACUGAGGGGGUUGGUGGAUGUUUGGACAUAUUUAUAUUUAUUAAAGAAUCGGUUCUCAUCUGUUGGAUGAGAUGAGAUUGUCACACCUCCUUUUUUACACAGCUACCCCGAAGGAUAAACGUAUAAGGGAGUUUUUCUAAUUAAAGUGACAUUAUUCGAAAUGGGAUUAUUUAUUUAUUUAGAGUCGCCCCUUGGGAUAGGCUUGGCUUUCAGUGUCCCAAGUCAGUGAUUUAUUUAGAAUCCCAAAUCGAGAAAAAUUAUCUACUGUCCAAAUGGAGUCCGCGAACCAGAAAUUCUAAGUAACGAAUUCUGUUGAUCCGAGGGAAGGUGUCAGGCACCCUCGGAUCCCGUGGUUCUAGCACGGUCGCUUAAACUAUUACAAUUGGCUAAGAAUCUGAUUUUUAUACAUGUUCAUCCUAUAGUGCAAUUUUAAUUAUUUACUGCUUUUAUUUAUUUUUAAGGAAUAUUGUAACGUUAUUAAAACACGUCUCGAACCACGUCACAUAAAUGCACCCGUAAUUUUGACAUAUUUUAACAUCGUUGAGAUUCUGAUUUGGGUCACAUAGAUGUGCACCCAAGUUUUAGGAAAAUAGAAUAUUAAAAUACGCGGCUAAAGCAGCUACACACUUUUAUUAUUCUUGAUAAAACUAAUUUGAGAUUAUUGUGAGGCAAUAAGUUAUGAAAUUAUUGUGGCAAAAGUGAUGUAGCGUAGAUUUUUAUUUUUCACCCAGUUCGCAUUUGAGCCCGGAUCAUAAUCAUUGUUGUGACUUAUUAAAAAGCCCAAAAUCUCAUUCGUCUCACUUUAAAUUUAUAAGAUCAUAUGGCUCUAAUAUACCAGAGUUCAUUUAGCGUAAAGGCUCUAUUUUUCAGCUUUUAUUAGAUAACUACAAUAAUUUUGAACUUAAAGCCAUAUAUUGUUUCAUGAAUUAAGAAAUUAAAAUAAUUGAAAACUAGAAACAAAACAUCAACUAAGGAAUAAAAUGCUAACAUAAAAAUUAUUUAAAAAAAUGAACUACCUUUAAAAUAAUGACUUAUUUACGUUCAAGUCUAACAUGAAUUUCUCAAAUCAUAUUAAUCUAAAAACAUAGGUUAGAAGCUAACAUUUAGUUACUUGAGAAAAUAAUUCUAAUCUAACAAACAUAAAUCAAAACAUGGAUGAAAGAAACAAUAAUGAAACAUUUAAACAGAACAAAAUUGAAACGGAAGCAUUCAUCUAAUGAAAAUAAGAAAUUAAAGGAAAUGAACCUUGGAUAUAAAUAUUCUGCCGAUAACUGAAAAUAUAACCUUCUUCAUGAAAUGGAUACAGCGCAACAAUCGUUACUCCAAAAUGAAAUAAAAUCAAGCAGCACCAUACGGAAUAGAAGAAGACUCAAACGAAAACCCGGACUAGGGACAUUGACCGGUGACGAAUAUCCAAAAACGACUGUUCUGAUUUCUUUUAACUGAUUUCAGCAAAUCUUUUGGCUCGUUUUGGGUGGUAUUAGAGGUGGAUUUCAUGGUUGUUCGCAGCUGGUUUUUCUGCUAUUUCAGAGGUCAUUUUGACUAAAAAUAGAGCUUUUUUCAACCUUGUUUUGGUGCUUUGUUGAACUUAUUGAUGGCUGAAAUACUAUAGCUUCAAGGCUGGUUUUUAUUGAUGUUUGGAUCUGGUUUUUUAGGUGGCUUUUGGGGCAAAAAUUUUGGUUUAACAAAAUAGUAAUGAAGGUGAAACUUGUGGGUCUUUCAUGGUUAUUCAAUAAGGAAGAUGAAAUUGUUUUUAGGAAAGAAGGUGGGUCGCAGUGCUGCCUACAAGUUGAUGAAAAAGAUGACGGAAUGGAGAAGAAGAGGAGCUCUUCGUUGGUUGUUUGCGACUGAUUGUAUCUAAU
rnacentral:lncRNA from 1 species